rnacentral:rRNA from 1 species
GACAGAGGUGCCGAGCGUUAGGCGGAAUCACUGGGCUUAAAGCGUGUGUAGGCGGAUCGUUAAGUACCUUGUGAAAUCCCCCGGCUCAACCGGGGAACUGCUGGGUAUACUGGCGAUCUUGAGCGAUCUAGGGGCAGAUGGAACAAGUGGUGGAGCGGUGAAAUGCGUAGAUAUCACUUGGAACGCCAAAGGUGAAAACAGUCUGCUGGGGAUCUGCUGACGCUGAGACACGAAAGCCAGGGGAGCAAACGGG